UGCAGUCGAACGAGAUCUUCGGAUCUAGUGGCGCACGGGUGCGUAACGCGUGGGGAUCUACCAUAGGGUGCGGAAUAACUCAGAGAAAUUUGAGCUAAUACCGCAUAAUGUCUUCGGACCAAAGAUUUAUCGCCCUUUGAUGAACCCGCGUAAGAUUAGCUUGUUGGUGAGGUAAGAGCUCACCAAGGCGACGAUCUUUAGCUGGUCUGAGAGGAUGAUCAGCCACACUGGGACUGAGACACGGCCCAGACUCCUACGGGAGGCAGCAGUGGGGAAUAUUGGACAAUGGGCGAAAGCCUGAUCCAGCAAUGCCGCGUGAGUGAUGAAGGCCUUAGGGUUGUAAAGCUCUUUUACCAGGGAUGAUAAUGACAGUACCUGGAGAAUAAGCUCCGGCUAACUCCGUGCCAGCAGCCGCGGUAAUACGGAGGGAGCUAGCGUUGUUCGGAAUUACUGGGCGUAAAGCGCGCGUAGGCGGUUACUCAAGUCAGAGGUGAAAGCCCGGAGCUCAACUCCGGAACUGCCUUUGAAACUA
rnacentral:rRNA from 1 species